AUUAAACCACCUUCACAGCUGUCUUGAAGAUGCAAGUUGGGAAGUGCCUAUCUUCAGUGGUCAAAGGGCGAGAGGUGGGGUCGCCCUGAACAGCAAAAUCAUUGUAAAAGCGUUGAAACAGUUAAAUAUCCUGAGACUACUCUUUCCUUCAUUUCUUCUGGUCCAGCAUUUUUAUACAUCCAUCCAUCCAUCUUCUGCCGCUUAUCCGAGGUCGGGGGUAGCAGCCUAAGAAGGGAGGUCCAGACUUCCCUCUCCCCAGCCACUUCCUCCAGCUCCUCCGGGGGAAUCCCGAGGCAU